UACGUAGGGUGCAAGCGUUAUCCGGAAUUAUUGGGCGUAAAGCGCGCGCAGGCGGUCCUUUAAGUCUGAUGUGAAAGCCCACGGCUCAACCGUGGAGGGUCAUUGGAAACUGGGGGACUUGAGUACAGAAGAGAAGAGUGGAAUUCCACGUGUAGCGGUGAAAUGCGUAGAGAUGUGGAGGAACACCAGUGGCGAAGGCGACUCUUUGGUCUGUAACUGACGCUGAGGCGCGAAAGCGUGGGGAGCAAACAGG
rnacentral:rRNA from 1 species